rnacentral:lncRNA from 1 species
UCUAUGGUUCCAAGAGUUCGAGACGUGAUUUCAUCCACAUGUUUUAUCGAUCAAUUUUGUGUUUAUCUGCAUCUCUAGGAUGUUUAGGGUCAGAACACUGUCAAUUCUGCGAUUUUUUGGCCAUUCUUGCAGAUGAAUCUGGUAACAAAUUGCCUUAUGUUAUCUGUUCAAGAAGCAACUCCAUGAAGAUGUUGAAAAGGGAAAGGCAAUUGGGAUAAUUCAAGAACCACUCUACAAAACAUACCCUACCAUUGCUACAGAAAGGAAGAAAAACACGAGAUUGGGAUUUGGGGGAUUCUAAUUUCUGGUCUAAUCAGAGAUACUGCCACUACUCUUGAUGUAUGUAUUUGUUUUAUUUGAAUUGUUAAUCAGAUAAUGUCUUCUCUC